CCUACGGGAGGCAGCAGUGAGGAAUAUUGGUCAAUGGACGAGAGUCUGAACCAGCCAAGUAGCGUGAGGGAUGACUGCCCUGUGGGUUGUAAACUUCUUUUAUCAAGGAAUAAAACGAGGCAAGUGUGCCUUUUUGCAUGUACUUUAUGAAUAAGGAUCGGCUAACUCCGUGCCAGGAGCCGCGGUAAUACGGAGGAUCCGAGCGUUAUCCGGAUUUAUUGGGUUUAAAGGGAGCGUAGAUGGGUUGUUAAGUCAGUUGUGAAAGUUUGCGGCUCAACCGUAAAAUUGCAAUUGAUACUGGCAGUCUUGAGUACAGGUGAGGUAGGCGGAAUGUGUGGUGUAGCGGUGAAAUGCAUAGAUAUCACGCAGAACACCGAUUGCGAAGGCAUCUCACGAAUCCGCGAUUGACGCUGAUGCACGAAAGCGUGGGUAUCAAACAGGAGUAGAUACCCUAGUAGUC
rnacentral:rRNA from 1 species